rnacentral:rRNA from 1 species
GCUCAGGAUGAACGCUAGCUACAGGCUUAACACAUGCAAGUCGAGGGGAAACGAUAGAGAAAGCUUGCUUUUUCUAGGCGUCGACCGGCGCACGGGUGAGUAACGCGUAUCCAACCUGCCCAUCACUUGGGGAUAACCUUGCGAAAGUAAGACUAAUACCCAAUGGCGUCUCUAGAAGACAUCUGAAGGAGAUUAAAGAUUUAUCGGUGAUGGAUGGGGAUGCGUCUGAUUAGCUUGUUGGCGGGGUAACGGCCCACCAAGGCGACGAUCAGUAGGGGUUCUGAGAGGAAGGUCCCCCACAUUGGAACUGAGACACGGUCCAAACUCCUACGGGAGGCAGCAGUGAGGAAUAUUGGUCAAUGGACGAGAGUCUGAACCAGCCAAGUAGCGUGCAGGAUGACGGCCCUAUGGGUUGUAAACUGCUUUUAUAAGGGAAUAAAGUGAGAGUCGUGACUCUUUUUGCAUGUACCUUAUGAAUAAGGACCGGCUAAUUCCGUGCCAGCAGCCGCGGUAAUACGGAAGGUCCGGGCGUUAUCCGGAUUUAUUGGGUUUAAAGGGAGCGUAGGCCGGAGAUUAAGCGUGUUGUGAAAUGUAGACGCUCAACGUCUGCACUGCAGCGCGAACUGGUUUCCUUGAGUACGCACAAAGUGGGCGGAAUUCGUGGUGUAGCGGUGAAAUGCUUAGAUAUCACGAAGAACUCCGAUUGCGAAGGCAGCUCACUGGAGCGCAACUGACGCUGAAGCUCGAAAGUGCGGGUAUCGAACAGGAUUAGAUACCCUGGUAGUCCGCACGGUAAACGAUGGAUGCCCGCUGUUGGUCUGAAUAGGUCAGCGGCCAAGCGAAAGCAUUAAGCAUCCCACCUGGGGAGUACGCCGGCAACGGUGAAACUCAAAGGAAUUGACGGAAG